CAGUCGCCGCGGGAACACGUAGGGUGCGAGCGUUAAUCGGAAUUACUGGGCGUAAAGCGCGCGCAGGCGGUUGUGUAAGACAGGUGUGAAAUCCCCGGGCUUAACCUGGGAACUGCGCUUGUGACUGCACAGCUAGAGUAUGGCAGAGGGGGGUGGAAUUCCACGUGUAGCAGUGAAAUGCGUAGGGAUGUGGAGGAACACCGAUGGCGAAGGCAGCCCCCUGGGCCAAUACUGACGCUCAUGCACGAAAGCGUGGGGAGCAAACAGGAUUAGAUACCCGCGUAGUCCCUGUCUCUUAUAC
rnacentral:rRNA from 1 species